CGAGUGCGUUCAGAGUUUGAUCCUGGCUCAGAUUGAACGCUGGCGGCAUGCCUAACACAUGCAAGUCGAACGGCAGCGCGGACUUCGGUCUGGCGGCGAGUGGCGACGGGUGAGGAAUGCAUCGGAAUCUGCCCGACGUGGGGGAUAACCUGGGGAAACCCAGGCUAAUACCGCAUACGUCCUGAGGGAGAAAGCGGGGGACCUUUCGGGGGCCUCGCGCGGCGGGAUGAGCCGAUGUCGGAUUAGCUUGUUGGUGGGGUAAAGGCCUACCAAGGCGACGAUCCGUAGCUGGUCUGAGAGGAUGAUCAGCCACACCGGGACUGAGACACGGCCCGG
rnacentral:rRNA from 1 species